GGAACCCCUCAGUCGGGGGCAGUCUGGGACAGUAGUCACCUGGCCUGGAAUACUGAAUUUCGUAUCAGUCCUUCCUUCGGCCGUCUCAGGAAAAGUGUGUUCACAGAAGACUGACUUCUAUGUACACGCCAGCAUCUCCUGGCACGUCAAUGCCUACGAGCUCCUGUGAAAUGCUUCACACGGCGCUCCGGAUGCAGUGUGCUCGGUAAGGCUGGUGUCUGAGGGAGAGGCGAGAGAGGGUGUGCCGUUCAUGACAGCAUGAAAGAGAAAACGCGUUAGUGGGAAGGAUCCGCUGUUCUGUCCCUCUGUGCCUUUGUGACUCGUACUUCCUAAAGCCGCGACAGCAGAGCAGAAAUGAGGAAGCACCCUCUGAAAUCAAUAAAAAUGUUUAAAGAAAAAAGAAAAAGAAAUGAGGAAGCAGCUGAGGGAGCGCCUGGCCAGCAGUCACGUCCACAGCGGGCUCAUGCAGCUAGAACCCUGUGACCAGGGCAGUGACACCUGGGAGCGUCACUAGGAGACGUUUGUUAUUCCAGCCGAGGGCACUCGGCGUGGACUCGGGACUGCCGUGCCGGUGGGAAGCUAAAGAUGUCAAGUGAGGCGACCUGAGAACCAGCAGCUUCAGGAAAUGUCAAGUUCCUCUUGAGACAAAUGUUUUGCAAAGAAUUCCAUCUCGGGUGGAAAUGUGAGCCAAAGGAGCAUUCCCGAGGCCCUCACUGGGUCUGGUGAGGCGUGCCCACACUGGGUGUGAGAGCAGCCCUCCUUCCCUGGCAGCCUCCCUCCUCCCCAUCCCCACCCUGAGCCAUUCCUGGUCCCCUGGCCAGGCACCCUGCGGGCUUCCGCUGCUACUCCAGGCUGGCUUCUUCCUAACCAUCAUCUUCACGAGUCUUGUUGUUUAAAAGGAAAAGAACCAGGAGGGCCCAGCUGGUGCAGCUUACUUGGUUGGGCUUCAUGCGCCCACAGGUUGCCGCCCAUUCUAUUCCGGGUCAGGGCACAUGCGGGGCUGCAGGCUUGAUCCCCAGUAGGGGGCGUGCGGGAGGCAGCUGGUGGAUGUUUGGCUCUCACACUGAUGUUUCUCUCCCUCUCCUCUCUCUCUCUAGAAGUCAGUUAAAAAAAAAAAAAAAAGAAUUGUGAGGAAAAUCUCCUUGGAUUCUAGUCCUGGCUCUGAAACUACGUGCAUGUAUGACCUUAGGCUUUUAAAAAUGUUUUUAAAAAACAAAGGUAACCGUCGGUUGCUGAGCAGAUAAACAAAAUGCGGUCUGUCCACAAAGUGGAGUAUCAUUCAGCUAUCACAAUGAAUGAAGCCGGCAGGAGUGGGCCUGGGAAAAGGGAGAUUGGAUUCGGGACCCCGAUUUCUCCUUGGCAUUCCACGUGAACAGCUACACAAAUGGAGUCCUAACGCCUGAGACCACGGGCUGGGGGAGCCCCGCUGGAAACACGCCCCGUUGGGACAGCUGCCCUCUGCCAGGUCCCCCGGGACACGGAGGGGACACGCCGUCCCUUUAAGAAACCGCGGCCUCCGGAACCUCGCAGCCCGCCGGAGC